CAACGAUUAGGUGACUGUGUUACCUGACUCUCAGCAGCAGUAGAGCUCCUGGAAGUCCUGCUUCUUAUUACUACUGUGGACUAGAGCCUCUCCAGAGCUCCCUGGGGCCCUUGGCCUGGGUGAAGAUGGAUGAAGAUCAGAUCCAGCAGCUGUGGGUAGAGGAGGGUCCAGGAAGUAGGCACAAAGCGAGGUCUCAACUGUCAGAACAUGUAAUAAACAAAUCUGGCCAGAGGACUUAGGGGAGGCAGAAGGCACAGUUAACCAUGGCAGCAGAAGUAGCAGAAAUGAGGCUGCUGUGGAAGAGUUAUCCAUCUCACUGUAUAGAUGUUCAAACUUCCUUUUCCAGAAUAGAAUUCUCCUUAACUGUGUCUUGG